CCUCUCACAAAAUAAAACAACGAGACGUAGACCACCUAUCGAAUCGUCCUCGAAGGAAGCUAGCUCGAAGCAACUCCCUUCCCGCGGUCCCUAGCCUCUCCCGGCGUGGAAGGCUCUGAAAGAAAACAUAAAACAGAGGGCGUGAGAACUAUAAUUUAUAGUUCCCAGUCGGCAAUUACUGACCUCAGCUCAAUGCACCACUAAGCCCCAAAAGAAA
rnacentral:lncRNA from 1 species